rnacentral:rRNA from 1 species
GACGAACGCUGGCGGCGUGCCUAAUACAUGCAAGUCGAGCGGACGAAUCGAAAGCUUGCUUUUGAUUCGUUAGCGGCGGACGGGUGAGUAACACGUGGGCAACCUGCCCUGUAGACGGGGAUAACACCGAGAAAUCGGUGCUAAUACCGGAUAACACGAAAUGUCGCAUGACGUUUCGUUGAAAGACGGCGCAAGCUGUCGCUACAGGAUGGGCCCGCGGCGCAUUAGCUAGUUGGUGAGGUAACGGCUCACCAAGGCGACGAUGCGUAGCCGACCUGAGAGGGUGAUCGGCCACACUGGAACUGAGACACGGCCCAGACUCCUACGGGAGGCAGCAGUAGGGAAUCUUCCGCAAUGGACGAAAGUCUGACGGAGCAACGCCGCGUGAGCGAAGAAGGCCUUCGGGUCGUAAAGCUCUGUUGUUAGGGAAGAACAAGUAACGCAGUAACUGGCGUUACCGUGACGGUACCUAACGAGAAAGCCACGGCUAACUACGUG